CACGCGGCGCUCUAAAUGUCGGACGCAACGGACGAAUCUGGAGUCUGGUGUCGCUAGGUUAUUUUUAAGCAAUGGCGCAUGGUCGCUAUCGCAUAACCAUACAUGGCCUCACCAGGAAAGGCCUCGGACGCCGCACGUGUGUGUGCGACGAGGAAAUUCCAGGUUAUUGAAACAUGGCGUCUGUGCACUGUCAUAACUUCGGGUUGUUUAUUAAUAACUGAUGUUUUUUUAUUAUUAUAUGAAUUGCAUAAUUAAGUAAUUAUAAUUAAUAAUAAUAAAUAAUAUAAUAUAUGAUAUUCACAA